rnacentral:rRNA from 1 species
GACGAACGCUGGCGGCGUGCUUAACACAUGCAAGUCGAACGGAAAGGCCCUGCUUUUGUGGGGUGCUCGAGUGGCGAACGGGUGAGUAACACGUGAGUAACCUGCCCUUGACUUUGGGAUAACUUCAGGAAACUGGGGCUAAUACCGGAUAGGAGCUCCUGCUGCAUGGGGGGGGUUGGAAAGUUUCGGCGGUUGGGGAUGGACUCGCGGCUUAUCAGCUUGUUGGUGGGGUAGUGGCUUACCAAGGCUUUGACGGGUAGCCGGCCUGAGAGGGUGACCGGCCACAUUGGGACUGAGAUACGGCCCAGACUCGUACGGGAGGCAGCAGUGGGGAAUAUUGCACAAUGGGCGGGAGCGUGAUGCAGCAACGCCGCGUGCGGGAUGACGGCCUUCGGGUUGUAAACCGCUUUCGCCUGUGACGAAGCGUGAGUGACGGUAAUGGGUAAAGAAGCACCGGCUAACUACGUG